CCUACGGGGGGCUGCAGUGGGGAAUAUUGGACAAUGGGGGGAACCCUGAUCCAGCCAUGCCGCGUGUGUGAAGAAGGCCCUCGGGUUGUAAAGCACUUUCAGUGAGGAAGAACGCCUGGUGGUUAAUACCCAUCAGGAAAGACAUCACUCACAGAAGAAGCACCGGCUAACUCCGUGCCAGCAGCCGCGGUAAUACGGAGGGUGCGAGCGUUAAUCGGAAUUACUGGGCGUAAAGCGCGCGUAGGUGGCUUGAUAAGCCGGUUGUGAAAGCCCCGGGCUCAACCUGGGAACGGCAUCCGGAACUGUCGAGCUAGAGUGCAGGAGAGGAAGGUAGAAUUCCCGGUGUAGCGGUGAAAUGCGUAGAGAUCGGGAGGAAUACCAGUGGCGAAGGCGGCCUUCUGGACUGACACUGACACUGAGGUGCGAAAGCGUGGGUAGCAAACAGGAUUAGAUACCCGUGUAGUC
rnacentral:rRNA from 1 species